AACAAGUAAAGCUUAAUCCUACACCAGCUUUAAGAAUCCUAGAUAACUCCGACAUCCUUUACCUAGAAUGAUUUCUCUCACAAGCACAUAACUCAGGUUAAAAACACCUUAAGAGCAUCCAAACACUGACCCACAAAGAUUAUAAUGAGUUUUUCUGUCACACCUAGCUUACAACCAUUGCUAAAAAGAACAAGAAAUACCUACUGUUGUUAACAGGUAGGUGUGGGAUCUUGAAUACUACUAGCUAGGAGGGAUGAGGGGGGAUGAAGAUACACACACUGCUGGCAAAGUCCAAUAAUUAAUAGAUGUACAUCUUACUAUUUAAAUCUAAGUGCAAAUUUGGCUAUUCACAGUAGACUCUAAAUGAAGGUAAAUAGGUUAAGUUCGAAG